rnacentral:rRNA from 1 species
AUUGAACGCUGGCGGCAUGCCUUACACAUGCAAGUCGAACGGCAGCACGGGAGCAAUCCUGGUGGCGAGUGGCGAACGGGUGAGUAAUAUAUCGGAACGUGCCCAGUCGUGGGGGAUAACGUAGCGAAAGCUACGCUAAUACCGCAUACGAUCUAUGGAUGAAAGCGGGGGAUCGCAAGACCUCGCGCGAUUGGAGCGGCCGAUAUCAGAUUAGGUAGUUGGUGAGGUAAAGGCUCACCAAGCCGACGAUCUGUAGCUGGUCUGAGAGGACGACCAGCCACACUGGGACUGAGACACGGCCCAGACUCCUACGGGAGGCAGCAGUGGGGAAUUUUGGACAAUGGGCGCAAGCCUGAUCCAGCAAUGCCGCGUGCAGGAUGAAGGCCUUCGGGUUGUAAACUGCUUUUGUACGGAACGAAACGGCGAGCUCUAAUACAGUUUGCUAAUGACGGUACCGUAAGAAUAAGCACCGGCUAACUACGUG